UUUUUUGUUAACUAUUUUCGGACUUAAAAACUGUUGAUAUUUGGAGAAUUUGAUGUUAAUGGCAGAUAUUGGAUAUUGACCUUUAAUUGUUUAUAUUUAAUUCAUAUUGCAUCUUUUAAAGACUCGAUUCGAUUUUCAGCGAGAUAUAUUCUAAUACUAUGGUGAAUUUGAUCUGCAUCCUUUGUUUGGGUUUUGACAGUGGAAUCGUACGACACAUUUGUUUUUAUAAUUACCUUUCUUCGUAGCAUUAAGUAUGGAAAUAGGGAAUGUCUUAAAGAAACAACAACCGGACCAAGGAGCAUAAAACAGUCCAAGGCCACCAAUUGGUUUUCAACGCAGCGAUAAAAUCUCGCAGGGAGGCGGGCUUCAGUAGGCCCCUAAACAAUAAAUUAUACUAGUGACACAUCCCAUAUAAAUAUAUUGACAAGAAA
rnacentral:lncRNA from 1 species